UACAGAGGUCCCAAGCGUUGUUCGGAUUCAUUGGGCGUAAAGGGUGCGUAGGUGGCGCCGUAAGUCGGGUGUGAAAUUUCGGAGCUUAACUCCGAAACUGCAUUCGAUACUGCGGUGCUUGAGGACUGGAGAGGAGACUGGAAUUCAUGGUGUAGCAGUGAAAUGCGUAGAGAUCAUGAGGAAGACCAGUGGCGAAGGCUGGUCUCUGGACAGUUCCUGAUACUGAGGCACGAAGGCCAGGGGAGCAAACGGG
rnacentral:rRNA from 1 species